rnacentral:rRNA from 1 species
CACGUAGGGCGCAAGCGUUGUCCGGAAUUAUUGGGCGUAAAGAGCUCGUAGGCGGUCUGUUGCGUCCGCUGUGAAAACUCGGGGCUUAACCCCGAGCCUGCAGUCGAUACGGGCAGGCUAGAGUUCGGUAGGGGAGACUGGAAUUCCUGGUGUAGCGGUGAAAUGCGCAGAUAUCAGGAGGAACACCGAUGGCGAAGGCAGGUCUCUGGGCCGAUACUGACGCUGAGGAGCGAAAGCGUGGGGAGCGAACAGG